rnacentral:rRNA from 1 species
UACGUAGGGUGCAAGCGUUAAUCGGAAUUACUGGGCGUAAAGCGCACGUAGGCGGCUCUUUAAGUCGGGGGUGAAAUCCUGGAGCUCAACUCCAGAACUGCCUUCGAUACUGUAGAGCUUGAGUUCGGGAGAGGUGAGUGGAACUGCGAGUGUAGAGGUGAAAUUCGUAGAUAUUCGCAAGAACACCAGUGGCGAAGGCGGCUCACUGGCCCGAUACUGACGCUGAGGUGCGAAAGCGUGGGGAGCAAACAGG